AAAUAGAGGCGCAGAAAAGAUUAGUAGUUUUGAGGAGUCUGACAGAUAGUGAUCCAAAAUGAAAGGUGAUUCUGCCGAAAUGAAAAAGCAUGUCAAAGCUUUUUUGUUGGUAAUUCAGAGAAUAUCUGUAUUACUGUCAUUGAAUCGAUUCAAUGGAGUGCUAUUUGU
rnacentral:ncRNA from 1 species